UGGUGAUCUGUGAGCCCUUGGUCGUGUUGCCCGCCUUCUUCCUGUGGGUCCUUGCUGGAUGCUCAUGUCCCUGUGAGCCGAGGCCCUGGAGGCUUCAGAUUUAGGUGAUGUUGCCACGUAUGACUGUCCAUCAGCCAGGAGAUGAACCCCCACCCGUGAGGCAGUGACUCAAGGUGCAAGGGAGUCCGGCAAGAAGUGUGGCGCACCCGAGUUGCUGCCACUGCUUUUUGGAUCACCCAGCACGGUGAUGUUGCCACGUAUGACUGUCCAUCAGCCAGGAGAUGAACCCCCACCCGUGAGGCAGUGACUCAAGGUGCAAGGGAGUCCGGCAAGAAGUGUGGCGCACCCGAGUUGCUGCCACUGCUUUUUGGAUCACCCAGCACGGUCUUCUGAAGUCUUCCUGAAAGCAUCCCUGGUGAUCUGUGAGCCCUUGGUCGUGUUGCCCGCCUUCUUCCUGUGGGUCUUGCUGGAUGCUCAUUGUCCCUGUGAGCCGAGGCCCUGGAGGCUUCAGAUUUAGGU
rnacentral:lncRNA from 1 species